rnacentral:rRNA from 1 species
GAUGAACGCUAGCGGCAGGCCUAACACAUGCAAGUCGAGGGGUAGCAGGAUUAAGCUUGCUUAAUUGCUGACGACCGGCGCACGGGUGCGUAACGCGUAUUCAACCUACCUUAUACUGGGGUAUAGCCCGGAGAAAGUCGGAUUAAUCCACCAUAGUACGAAUGAAUCGCAUGGUAUAUUAAUUAAAGCAUUGCGUGAUAAGAUGGGCAUGCGUCCCAUUAGUUAGAGGGUGAGGUAACGGCUCACCAAGGCUACGACAGGGAGGGGGCCUGGGAGGGUGGUCCCCCACACUGGUACUGAGACACGGACCAGACUCCUACGGGAGGCAGCAGUGAGGAAUAUUGGUCAAUGGGCGCAAGCCUGAACCAGCCAUGCCGCGUGCAGGAAGAAUGCCCUAUGGGUUGUAAACUGCUUUUAUUUGGGAAUAAACCUCUUUACGUGUAGAGAGCUGAAGGUACCAAAUGAAUAAGCACCGGCUAACUCCGUGCCAGCCGCCGCGGUAA